AUGGGCGUAGAGGUAGCGGCUAUGGCCAUUCUCAACAGCAGCAAAGUAGUGGGAGGUAGUAGUGCAAGCAAGCAAGGGCAGCGGCAGCAGGAACUAAGAGCAGCAACAGCGAUAGAAGCCAAAGCAGUGGCAGCAGCUAGAACACGCAGCAGUGGCGGCAGGAGGAACGGAAAGAAGCAUCAGAGGAAGAGCGGCAUGCGGGAUGAGCAGCAGGGCGCUGAGCGACAAGCGGUGGGGUGGCACGUAUGCGCUGAGGACAGGGCCGCAGCGUCGGGCACGGCCAGCAGUGGGCGGCGCCGACGGUCGCGGUGUCAGGUGCAGGGGCACGGCGAGGAUAAGCGCGGGACAGUUGCGGGCUUGGCCAGGUGCAGGGGCGAACGAGGCCCGGACGCGGCCUAG
rnacentral:rRNA from 1 species